rnacentral:rRNA from 1 species
CGACGGGUGAGUAACGCGUGGAUAAUCUACCCUUAAGAUGGGGAUAACGGCUGGAAACGGUCGCUAAUACCGAAUACGCUCCCGAUUUUUAUCAUUGGGGGAAAGGAUGGCCUCUGCUUGCAAGCUAUCGCUUAAGGAUGAGUCCGCGUCCCAUUAGCUAGUUGGCGGGGUAACGGCCCACCAAGGCAACGAUGGGUAGCCGGUCUGAGAGGAUGACCGGCCACACUGGAACUGGAACACGGUCCAG